UCAGCUGGGUAAGGAAGGAGAGAGCUCUAUACCAUCACUCACAAAAAUGUCAUCUUGAGUCCUUAAUCAUGCGGGCAUUCAAUCAACUUCCAAACAGUAUGCAACUGCUUGAUCACUCCCUCCUUCUGGGAACACCCAAAGAAUAAAUGAGGAGUCAACAGAGCCAUCCUGAGACAAGGCAGUCAGGGAAGGCACAUCUGAGGAGGUGGCAUUCAAGCUGACCCUCAAAUGACAAGAACCAGUAGAUUUGUCAUCAUCAUGGCAGGUGCCUUCGUUUCCAGUGGCUCCUGUAACAAAUGACCAUACACUUGGGGGCUUGAGAUAACAGAAAUGUAUUCUGUCACAUUUCUGGAAGCACUGGGAGACUUCCUCCAUUACACCGAUGACAGGGCUUUGUGAUCAGGAACUCAAGGUGACCUCGAGAAGAAGCCGAAACGUUCGGUUGACUACAGCCAGAGGGAAAAAUCUCACACCAGCUACACUGAAGUGAAAACGUUCGCAGUUAGGGCGGGCUGGCAGGAUUUCUGAGGUCGCCAGAAUAUGCACACCUCUGGGAAGAAAACAGCUGGAGCCAGAAUGUGGUCAGGAUCCCACUGCGGCUGCUGGGAGCCUGGGUUUCUGCUUCUCUCCAUAUGUUUGAAGCCCUUCUCCCCACCCCCCACCCAUCCCCCAUGCCCGCUUUCCACACUAAACCCAGGAAGGCGCUGCUGCUUCACAGCAAGCAGUUGCACAUCACCUCUGCCAGUCACUUGCACCCAAAGGCUAUCUAUGAAUCCCAGUGCCAGGUUCUAGAAGGGGUCCAAGGCUGGUAUGUGGGAGCCAGUGCUUUAGAAGAAGAGAAAGAAACUGGAUGAUUCUUGGGAGUCCUUGACCUCUCUGGUCGCAUCCUUGGAAUGAAACGGGAGGGAGUGUGUUUUGCCUGCUAGAAGCGAUUAGAGAGAGACAGGACACUCCCGAGGGCCACCCCGCCCCUCCUGGCAUGCCUCAGAGCCCACGGGGCUAUUUUGCCUGCAAGGCUGAUUGUAACAUUUCAGCCUUCGCUGGCAGCAAACUGCCCACUUCCUGGCAGUUCCAAGCUGCAGGAGACUAAUAAAACGAGCCCUAAU